UCUAACCGCCUCUAUUAACAAUUCUGAAAAUGUGUCGGCCAUCGAAAAAACACGUAUUGAGACAGGUCAACUACUGAACUACUACUGAUGCGAUUCGUGCGGAAAAAUCAAAUAAUUUGAUCGGACAUACGGCGCGAAUUUCGUACGAAACAUUUUUAUUACCAAUGCGACUGCACGUAGGGCAGCGCUAUAGUUUUUUAUACUUUGAUAAAUUCGGAUCGGCCGCACCGCCCGCAUCGGACGGAACUAGUCGCUCACGCAGGACGACGCGAUAUGGCAUGGCCUACGUGAGCGAUUGCACGCGACGACCGGCGUACAUACGAUACAAAGCGAUGCGACAUAAUCAGUUGGGUUGAUAAUUUCGCACGUGAUUGUCGGAACUAAAUCAAAGCAUGGAUCUAGAAAGUUUAAUCAAUUUAAUACAGGAACGUCCUGUUUUGUGGGACAAGAGAAAUAAAAGUUACCACGACAGACUAUUAACGCACAGAGAAUAGGAAAGUCAUGGGAACGACAUAUGAUACCGUCAAGAAAAAAUGGAAACAUCUGCGAGAUACUUGUUGUAGGGAAUUGAAAAAAAUUCCAAAACCCCGUUCAGGAGCUGAUGCUGAUAGCGAACCAAAAUAUAAAGGCACAUGGCCUUAUUUUGAAAUCAUGUCAUUUUUAAGAAUAAUAAUAAAGCCUCGAAAAACUACUGGUAACAUCGGACAAUCAGAAAAUUUAUAAGAAUUCUCUAACGAAGAAAGCAAUAGUACAAUUCUAUCGGAAUCGGCAACUAUGGAUGACGAAUCACAAAACACAGGUGAAUAUAAUAUAAUUUUUGAAGAAAUUAGUGAGCUUGAGUCGUGGAUGUCUAUGGCAGAGGACAGCAGUUCUACAGCAGAAACAGCAUGCACGGAAAGCAAUGAUCACAUCACUCUGCAACCAGGGACUACGAUUUCCACAUCUGGGCUAGACACACAAGACAGCAUCAUUCUCCAACAGAUGCCUUCUAGUUCCAUUCUUCAGCAGACGCCGUCACGUUCCAUGCCUCCAAAGCGCGCAGUUCCAGUAACACAAAAUCACUCUUGUAAGAAAAAAAAAGUUGGCGAAGAAUUAUAUAAGGCUUUCCUUGAAAUUGAAAGAGAGAAAAUAAACUUUUUGCGUAAGGAACAAAUCAACGAGGACGAUGAUGACAUAUGCUGGUUCAAGUCUUUAUUACCGUUUAUGAAACAACUCCCAGCAUUAAAUAAACUGCAGUUUAGGACACAUAUGCAACAAAUAUUAAUAAAAGAACUGGAAAAAAAUAAUUCAGCUUUGCCCUCCUCUAAGGUUACUGCUACAAACAUGUUAGAGUAGAUCAUAAGUAAUAACCACCGUAUUGAGAUAUUAACUAUAUUAUUCAGAAUUUCAUUAGAUUUUUUUGUGAA